CAAAGACUUCCUAGGUUAAAAUAGAAGGAGUCGGGAGGGCAGGGGAUUACAAAUGCAGAUUCAGGGAGCCUCACCUUAGAUUCACUAAAGCUGAGUCUUUGAGGUGGGCCCCAGAAUCUGCAUUUUCACAAGCUCCCUAAGUUGUGCACUGCAGAGUCUGAGACGCUGUGCUUUAAAGUGAUUGAUGUAUCAUGCUGAGAAAUCACCUGACAGGGGUUAAAAUUAUGACUAGGCUAAAUAAAUAAUCACGAAGAAAUAAAUCUCAUUAUCAUUAAUGUUAAUAAUCCUUGUAAACAUUUUCGUAGAUACGCUUCCAAAUUUGCUCUUAUGCACAUAUGCAUUCUUUUUUUUCAUAACAAAACGUGAGUACACCCUUAUAUUCUAUAGGAAUUGACUUCAUGAACACAAUACGUCUUUUGAUAAAGACGCUCAUUCUUCAUUGCCUGGAUGCUGAUGAGGGCACAGUGUGGGGGUGUGGGGCAAUGCCCAGAGGGAAAUGACAUCCACCAGGAUCUAUGUCUUUAAUAAUCAGAGGAGGUAUUGUGGGGGAAUGGAUGCCUGACAUGAGAGAAUUAGAAACAUAUUUUAUUUUGGAACAGACAGGUAUUCUCUGAUUGGUGGAUCUCUGGAAAUUAACACAAAUUGUGUCAUGAAUAUGCCUUGCCGGAUGAAGGCAUCUUCUAAAAAGCCAAGCACAAAGAGUUUUCAGACAAAAAGGCAUAGCAAGCAACUGUCAAAACACAGUGCCAUGUUGAAUAUUGUCAGCUUCCUUCCAUCUGCUGUCUCAAAAACCUAGCUUCUCUCUUGCAUUCCAGGGAUGCUGACGGAGGAGGAGAGCCAGAUUCUGGCACAAUGGGUAAGAAGCGUGUUACUGAUCAUAAGCUAAAUGUGGACAAAGUAAUUAAAAAUAUUAACACAAUUUCUUCGGAGUUGAAGAAGAUAAAAGAGCUCUCCCAGUUAUUGCUUUGUGACCUUAUCCUACAUUUUAAUCAUCCCAUCAAGACUGAGAACUUAGCAGAAGCAGAAAGAAACAACCCCCUCUUUGAAGAGUCUAAAAUAUCAGAUGUAUCCCUUGUUUCUAACAGUUUUUCUAUCUGAUUUCUUAUUUGUUAUGAGUUUCUGUUUUAUUGUUGAACUAACAAAUAUUUGGGAGAGUUGAGUUUACUAAUUUGUAUAUAUAUAAUUUAAAACAAAAUAAAAAUAAUGUAAACAAGCAGUUCAUGUUCUUGAAGGCUGUUUAAUGUUUUGAAGAAUGGCUUAACUUACGUCACUAAUG
rnacentral:lncRNA from 1 species